CUCACGCUCAAUUCCGCUUUGGCAGCCCAGGGGUAAGACAGAGGGAAAGACUGGGGAAGGCUGGUAGAGGAGAGGGAUUUGGGGCCUCUGAGGUUGGUGAUUCGGUGAGCGCACAGUAAGCGGGGGCUGGAAUGGGAGAAAAAGUAGAGAUGGCUUGCUGGGCUUUUAGCCUAGCAUGGACACCGCACUAGCUGAAGACCUUUUAUGGGAUGGCAGUUUGGUGAGGGAGAAGUGGCCUGUUCCUGGAAGACCGGAGGGUUGGGAGCAGUCGGGGUGUUUGUGAGCUGAAGCAGUGCGUCUAGAAGAAUGGGUAGAAGGUAUAGAUUGGGUUUUAACAAUUACAGGGGUUUCUGAGGUAGAGGGAAAGUCAGGUUGGGAAGAGACAUACAAGUCAUGCAGUUGGAUUUUACUUAGCUUGAGUAAAAAGUGGAUAUUGGAAACGGCUAAAGCGUGACGAAGUCCGUUCAUUGUCCAUUUUGAAAUGUCCAGUAUAGAUGGGGGGCAGCAGGAGGUGAAGAUCUGGAUGAUCUGGAUGGCGGAGGAGAGGAUUGAUUCCUGUGUCUUAGUGUGCGGGUUGCUGAGUAAGAAGCUCUGCAUCCUCAGUUUGGAGCAUCCGGAUUGGUGAUGGCGUUGGAUGGAGGAAUGUCUUUGCUGGGAUCAGAUGGCUGUGAUGGAGUAUGGAGGGGGGGAUUUGAAGAAUUCCUCGUCGGAAGGAAAGAGCUCUAGUUUGGACAUCUUGCUGACUUGAGGGUAGGGCCAAUUGUCAGGAGAAUUGUAACGGAAAGUAGAUUGUGUUCUGUCAACAGAGGAUGUGCACAAGGCAUCUCAGCUGCUCAGCAAUUCAAAUGUGCAAGUUAACUAUUUGGAUGAGCAUGACAUGACUCCUCUCAUGUACGCUGCCAAGAAGAGUAAAGCAGAAAUGUGCAGACUGCUACUGCAGCACAGAGCUGACUUCAGCUCCAGUGAGCAUGAAUACGGUUAUACUGCAUUCAUGUUUGCUGGUCUCUCAGCUCAUCUGAAAUAUUCUCCACAAAUAUUCUCUGGAAAUUAUGGAGAUGAUAUUAGAUGCUGGGGCAGAGACAGACCUUGUCAACCCUGUAGGACGAAUGGGCCUUUGUGGGUCAGCAUGACCGUGUGACAGUGAUUAACAAUUUCUUCUCUUGUGCAAGGAUGGAGUUCUACACCAGACCCCAGGGAUCAGAAAGAGAGCCCAACUACCCCCUAAACUAGCAGGACCUUUAUAUAAAAUUUACAUAAAAUCAUCAUGACUACUAACCUUAACCCUGUCAAGGGGAACGACCCAACAGCCUUCUCGGUUCUGACCCAGGCAUUGACGGGCCAGAUGGUGCUCAUGGACACAGAGGAGUGUGCUACAUGUGGGGAGAGAGGGGUGCCGACAAGAAGUGCUCCUUCUGCAAAAUGGUGAUCUACUGUGGGCAAGUGUGUCAGAGGCUCCACUGGUUCACCCAUAAGAGGCAGUGCAGAGCCCUUGUGCAACAGAAAGAAGCUCGACACAACAGCCCUCCCAAACUGAGAGAACUCUUUACCAAUGUUAAAGUUCAAGACAUUAGCAGAUUCCCUAAGGAGUGAGAUUUUUAUAAUGGUGCUUUUGGUCCUGGCCAGUAUGAGGUGUUAUCUAAUUACAAAGUAAUUAAUUUGAUUAUCUAAUUACUUUUUAGUACAAAAAGUACUGUAGCGCAUUACUGUACAUUUCAAGUUCUUGUAAUUAGAUUACAGUUACUGACUUUCAAAUAAGGUAAUUACUUUUAAUUACUUGGGUUACACAUAUUUCUAAAAUAGUAUUAUACUGUAUAUGUAUAAUACAUUUAUAUCAUGAAUUACAUUAAUAUGUACAUCUCUUUGUAAGACUGCUGAAGGGUGUGCACCCCUAACGAGCCAAACACACUGAGGAAAACAUACAUUAUUUUGAAUUCGUUGAGUGGAAAAACUAAAGUUUUUCUGUGAAAAGUGUUUUAGAAAGUAACAUAAAAGUAAUUAGUAAUGUGAUUACCUUUUUGAUGAAGUAAUCAGUAAUCUGAUCACACUUUUAGUGUAGUUCACACCAAGAACUAAAACUAUAAUGAUAGUCCACACCACAACUAUAAUGAUAAAGACACAGAGGAAUGAAAUCAUUGGGAUCACUUUCAGAAUGAUUUUUUUUUCCAGCUAAUGAACUAUAAAAACAUUGACAGGCAAUCAAAAUCCAUCCAACUUUAAAGGGCUUGAGCCGCAACGUGCACUCAUCUUCAAAAUAACACAUUCCAGCACCGCAUCGCCACUUAUUACACACAAACUAAAUGGAAACUGCUGCCCAAGAACCGGCAAUAUUUCCUCUGCAUUCUUCUUCAGUAUUAACAAAGGUGAGAUAAUGAAAGGCUAACGCAAACUGGUAGCAUAAAAUUACCUCACGUAUCCAGCGUCUCCUUUGAAGUUGUAUCCGCCUGUUUUUCUUUUGGUUUCUUUGCGAAACAUAGAGCAGUAGCAGGUCAUCUACAUCCAUUUUCUUGACUGUGAACAUAACUGCAGGGUGUGCUUAGAAUAAACAGAAUGUUAUGGCCCAUUGGUGUGGAUGCUAAUAUAGUUAUCGUUAUAGUUCUUGGUGUGAAUGGGCCUUUAUAUUAAUUAGUAAUUUGUAUUGAAUUACUUUUUUUUUUUUUUUUUGAAACCUACUCAGCUGGUCAUGGCAUUGAAGGUGUGAGAAGAAAUCUUGCUUGAUGAUGAAACCAACUUCUUUAAUAUAAAAUAUUGGCACUUUCCAUGACUACAUUCAUUAAACUCAACCAUUCAACCCUGUUACCCAAGUUACUGUAAGACAAAUUGAUUAAACUAAUACUUUUCUUCAUACUGUAUAUCUAACAACGUUUAUAGAAAUAUUCCAAAUUUUGGUGACAGGGUUGCAUGAUUUUGACCAUUUAAAACCCUUGUUUAAAACCCUUUUUGACCUACUGGGGCUGAAGGCCCUAAUUUGUACCCUAUUCUUGAAAGCAUAUUAAUGUUGAUUAUGGAAAUAUAUUGUUUACAGUUUUACUGUAAUCUCCAAUGUGACUCUUGUUAUAUAAAAUAUUCCUGCUCCUUUUCAA